rnacentral:rRNA from 1 species
UCAGGCUUAACACAUGUAAGUCGAGCGAGGUAGCGAUACCUAGUGGCGGACGGGUGAGUAACGCGUGGGAACGUACCCUUUGGUUCGGAAUAGCCCUGGGAAACUGGGAGUAAUACAGGAUACGGUCGAGAGACGAAAGAUUUAUCGCCAAGGGAUCGGCCCGCGUUGGAUUAGGUAGUUGGUGGGGUAAUGGCCUACCAAGCCGACGAUCCAUAGCUGGUUUGAGAGGAUGAUCAGCCACACUGGGACUGAGACACGGCCCAGACUCCUACGGGAGGCAGCAGUGGGGAAUCUUAGAGAAUGGGCGCAAGCCUGAUCUAGCCAUGCCGCGUGAUAUGUAGGAGGCCUUAGGGUUGUAAAGCUCUUCAGCUGGGAAGAUAAUGA